UACAGAGGUCUCAAGCGUUGUUCGGAUUCAUUGGGCGUAAAGGGUGUGUAGGUGGCGCGCUAAGUCGGGUGUGAAAUUUCGGAGCUUAACUCCGAAACUGCAUUCGAUACUGGCGUGCUUGAGGACUGGAGAGGAGACUGGAAUUCAUGGUGUAGCAGUGAAAUGCGUAGAGAUCAUGAGGAAGACCAGUGGCGAAGGCGGGUCUCUGGACAGUUCCUGACACUGAGACACGAAGGCCAGGGGAGCACACGGG
rnacentral:rRNA from 1 species